UCUUCCUUUGGGCCUUCAUUCUCAGGCACCCACUGGCUAGCCAGAUAGAUGUUCAUGUGCCUCCGGAAGCAUAAAUGCACAACAGGAAAUUUAGAGUGAGGGAAGAUCGGGGUAAGUGGAAAGUUACAGAUGCCUGAACACAACAUUGUCAGACUGACGUUCAAGCCAGACUCGAAUCAGAAUGCAACGUUUAAGUUGGGAAUUAAAGUGUUAAAUUGAAGGAGGAAACUGGAGAACUCAGAGGAAACCCA